rnacentral:tRNA from 1 species
GGGGAUUUAGCUCAGCGGCAUAAGCGCCUGCCUUGCAAGCAGGCGGUCGUGAGUUCGAUCCCCGGUACCCA